CGAAGUUAGAUUGCGUUUUUAUUAGGGUGUUGGAUAGUGGCACGGUAAUUGGGUGGCGUCUUCUAAGAAAACAUUUUCGAUUGAAACGAGUGCGUAAUCCAAUCACAGUCGUGAUAACAUAUAAUAAUAAAUGCACCCCCUCGUGCCCGUUGUAACGUCUAUAUAAGUAUGCCUAAGAAAACCAAAUUAAAAUAUCCGAACGAAAUUAUUCAGAAUUUUAAUACACAACGCGCCAUUCAAUUAUACGAGUUUGUUUCACAUCAAUUUCUGAAAUUUUAUCGCACUAAUUCAAUUGCAAGUAUGACUAAAAACUUGUCUUACACGAGGCUGGUCCCCGGCCGCUCAGCGCGUGCAUAAUCUCUGCUAAUCAUUGAAAACGUUAAUAAAUUUAAACCGAGAUUUCUUACAGAUCGCAUAACGUCAUGUCCCGUCGGAGAAAAUGUCUUAAAUAUCAUCAUUCUAUAAUACGCGUACUAUUACAUGCGCCUAUUAAUACAGGCCCUAUAUAAUAUUGUAAUAUCAUCAGCUCAGCAGCUAACACGCGGAAUACACGGUGCGUAAUAACAAUACAGGUAGAAGUACUCGUCGCCACCUUUUUGCGUUGUACAUCAUUUACACCGAAGGAUUAUUGCGGUGUCCAGCCGACUUUUUAGACCAAACUCGUUGGUACCUCGUGCAUUCUUUUAAUUGGGGUUUCUUUUUCCCUAACCUUUGCGAUGCGACGACUUUUGUUUCGGCCGAAGAGGGUGUAUUGUAUUAUAUUCGCGGCGUGUACAGAAAGACCGUUGCUAUAUUAUACCGAAUCCGUCUCGUAUCUCAGUUUCACACGGACACGGCCCGCGGCACCGGAGAUUUAGAAACACGCAAUAACAGUCUCCUUACGAUGUUAUAAUGUUUAUAAUAAUACGCGUAUAGACAAUGCGGUGUCGGAGAAUGCCCGUGUAUGCACAAAAAGAACCCCCACGAGAACGACGUGGCCGUUGUUGGCAAACAGAGUCCGUAACUGACCUCUGGGCGUCCAGGUGCAACGCCACUUGCAGGGGGCCCUCAUUGUUCGGGUCCUCGACGGUAGUGUACCUACCUACAUUAAUUAUUGAACGUGAGCACGCCGCGCUAAAACAAUGGACAACCGGAUUUUAGGACCACGCCGGGCGAUAUUUACCCAACAAAGGGGUUAUCUUGUCCGUCAGUCGUCGCCGGGACAGAGCCGUCGUCGCAUCGGAUCGGUUUUGAAUCGACUACGUCGCAGAAAAAUUAUAAUCCAGAUAAGGCCUGGAGGUCCAAAAAAGAUCGGUGCCUUUCGUUAAGAUGUACAUGAACACGAUGUUAUGAAAUUGGAGAGUAUCCGAUAUUAUAAUAAAAUGACCUAGCAAAUUGUUUGAUCUAAAUACUUGAAAAAAUUCAUAAAAUUGAUUUUUAAAUUAAUAAUUUUUAAUCUAUAUUAGUACAUCCGUGUUAUUAUUUAAGUUAAACUGCAUUAAAACUAGUUUUAAUCUAACAUCUAAAAACAAUUUAAAAUUUGUUUUCAGUAUUUUUUUGUAAUAAGUAUAAAUUAAAUUAAAAGUUUGAUACUUUUAAGGUGAUAUUUAUACCUAUAUA